rnacentral:misc_RNA from 1 species
GAUGAAGAACGUAGCGAAAUGCGAUAAGUAAUGUGAAUUGCAGAAUUCAGUGAAUCAUCGAAUCUUUGAACGCACAUUGCGCCCCCUGGUAUUCCGGGGGGCAUGCCUGUUCGAGCGUCAUUACAACCCUCAAGCUCUGCUUGGUGUUGGGCCCCGCCGCCCCGGCGGGCCCUAAAGUCAGUGGCGGUGCCAUCCGGCUCCGAGCGUAGUAAUUCUUCUCGCUCUGGAGGUCCGGUCGUGUGCUCGCCAGCAACCCCCAAUUUUUUUCAGGUUGACCUCGGAUCAGGUAGGGAUACCCGCUGAACUUAAGCAUAUCAAUAAGCGGAGGA